rnacentral:rRNA from 1 species
GAUGAACGCUGGCGGCGUGCCUAAUACAUGCAAGUCGAGCGAACAGACGAGGAGCUUGCUCCUUUGAUGUUAGCGGCGGACGGGUGAGUAACACGUAGGUAACCUACCUAUAAGACUGGGAUAACUUCGGGAAACCGGAGCUAAUACCGGAUAAUAUUUCGAACCGCAUGGUUCGAUAGUGAAAGAUGGCUUUGCUAUCACUUAUAGAUGGACCUGCGCCGUAUUAGCUAGUUGGUAAGGUAACGGCUUACCAAGGCAACGAUACGUAGCCGACCUGAGAGGGUGAUAGGCCACACUGGAACUGAGACACGGUCCAGACUCCUACGGGAGGCAGCAGUAGGGAAUCUUCCGCAAUGGGCGAAAGCCUGACGGAGCAACGCCGCGUGAGUGAUGAAGGUCUUCGGAUCGUAAAACUCUGUUAUUAGGGAAGAACAAACGUGUAAGUAACUGUGCACGUCUUGACGGUACCUAAUCAGAAAGCCACGGCUAACUACGUG